GCCGGAGGGAGUUCACGAGGAAAAGACGCGCUCUAAAAGUUUUCAGGUACUCAAGUGAAGGAUGAUGAUCAAGCAAUCGAUUCGAACCGAACACCUAACGUUACGCUUCCGCACUUGAUCCAUGUUUUGUUAUUAUGUAAACACUAGUAGUUUUAUUUGGAACAUUGUUAGUAGGUUAAACAAGUAAUGUUUUAUUAAAUGGGUUUCGAAUAUUGAAAGUUUUUGUAAAGACUACUUUUAGUAUA